rnacentral:rRNA from 1 species
GUGCCAGCAGCCGCGGUAAAACGUAGGAGGCGAGCGUUAUCCGGAUUUACUGGGUGUAAAGCGCGUGCAGGCGGUUCGUUAAGUUGGAUGUGAAAGCUCCCGGCUCAACUGGGAGAGGUCGUACAAGACUGGCGGACUGGAGUGUGGUAGGGGAAGGUGGAAUUCCGGGUGUAGUGGUGAAAUGCGUAGAUAUCCGGAGGAACACCAGUGGCGAAGGCGGCCUUCUAGACCACAACUGACGCUCAGACGCGAAAGCUAGGGUAGCAAACGGGAUUAGAUACCCUAGUAGUCC